rnacentral:rRNA from 1 species
UUGGCAGCGGUCCAAGUUCCUUGGAACAGGACGUCACAGAGGGUGAGAAUCCCGUACGUGGUCGCUAGCCUCCGCCGUGUAAAGCCCCUUCGACGAGUCGAGUUGUUUGGGAAUGCAGCUCUAAAUGGGAGGUAAAUUUCUUCUAAAGCUAAAUACUGGCCAGAGACCGAUAGCGCACAAGUAGAGUGAUCGAAAGAUGAAAAGCACUUUGGAAAGAGAGUCAAAUAGCACGUGAAAUUGUUGAAAGGGAAGCGCUUGCAGCCAGACUUGCCUGUAGUUGCUCAUCCGGGCUUUUGCCCGGUGCACUCUUCUACAGGCAGGCCAGCAUCAGUUUGGGCGGUUGGAUAAAGGUCUCUAUCACGUACCUCUCUUCGGGGAGGCCUUAUAGGGGAGACGACAUGCAACCAGCCUGGACUGAGGUCCGCGCAUUUGCUAGGAUGCUGGCGUAAUGGCUGUAAGCGGCCCGUCUUGAAACACGGACCAAGGAGUCUAACAUCUAUGCGAGUGUUUGGGUGUCAAGCCCGAGCGCGUAAUGAAAGUGAACGGAGGUGGGAACCCUUUGGGUGCACCAUCGACCGAUCCUGAUGUCUUCGGAAGGAUUUGAGUAAGAGCAUGGCUGUUGGGACCCGAAAGAUGG